UUGCAGUAGGUGUUAACGGGGACUCGGGAUGUGACGCGAUAGGACCUCCCCUGCUCUGUGAUUUAAAUAUGACGUGUGCUUAGGAGGCGUAGACAAGGCAAGGUGUGUAUUUAAGGAGCUGCCACACUGUAAUAAAUGCCAUUUGCUAUAUCCUUAUAUAGGUGUCUGUGUAGCAAUGGCCCUAGCGAGGGUAGAUCGCUAGCCCCUGGCGGAAUGUGCCUCAGAAGCAGGAACAACAAAUGGUGCCCCGUGUGAGGAAGAAUAGGUCCGUCGCUCCCCAGUGUCCCAGGUGUUGCCUGAGAUCCGGUGAGGGAUCUGCUCCUGGCCAGGAGGAUGGAGUGGAGGAGGACAAGAUGGCAACUGUUUCCUGACCCACCCCUCGCCACUGUAUCCGGUCCGACCGACUCGACCCGGAUAUCCUUUUAUGGAGUUGAGGGCGCAUGCGACUGAUCAGGGGUCUCCACAACAGGGAGGACCUGUUUUGUUGGCUAUUUCAAGGGGUUGGCCGAUGGUGGUCAUUGACCUCAAGGUCUGCUUUUUCUCUAUCCCUCUCGCAGAAGAGGACCGAGAAGCAUUUGCCUUCACGUUUCCGGUGACUAAUAAUGAAGGGCCUGCAGAGAGAUAUCAAUGGCGUGCCCUCCCUCAGGGAAUGAUGUGCUCCCCUACAGUAUGUCAACUAGUAGUGGGAAAUGUUCUGAAGGCGGUCUGAAAAGAUUUCCCUCAGUAUAUGGUUGUACAUUAUAUGGACAAUCUAUUGCUUGCUGCUCCCUCUUAUUUGGGGCUACAUAUGCUUGAGACUCGGGUAGUGGAAACCUUGACCACUGCCAGAUUUGUUAUCUCUGAACAAAAAUUGCAGAGGGGCCCGGGGGUUGAAUACCUCGGAUAUAAGUUUCGCCCAGAGAUGGUUCGGCCAACAGGGCUUGACAUUCGACCCCACAUUACCACCCUGUGGGAUGUGCAGAAGUUGGUGGGGGCAAUUCAAUGGGUCCGAGGGGCCUUGGGAAUUGCCUCCCGGCUUAUGAAACCCUUCUAUGAUCAACUGAAGGAGGUGGACCCGAGAGAACCUCGAGAGCUCACCCAUGAUAUGGCUGCUGCAUGGCAUGAAAUUCUGCAGUGUUGUAUGGGACAGUCGCUAGCGCGGUGGGACCCCAAUCUAGAUCUUGAAGUAGCAGCGACUCGAUGCGAGGCCGGUACAACUGCCAUUUUGGGCCAUACCCUUGAUGCUAAGCCACGACCUCUGUGGUGGUUGUUUUCAGUGCAGCCUACGUGAGUCUACACUUCCUGGCUUGAGAUCUUAGCAAUGCUGCUCAGGAAGUCCCUAUUGCUAUUGUUGCAGGCCCUGGCAAGAGAACCUCAUGUUAUAUACCUGCAGAGCUCAUUUCGGGACAUGCAGCCGCUCCCUGAAGCCCUUCUUACGGUGUUGCGGGGCUUUGGGGGAAGCACUGUGUACUCUGAUUCGUUACCCAUUUUUGAUUUAGCUAAGCCCCUCAAUGUCUCCCUUUGAUCUCGUGUCCUAACCUCUCUGCUUGAUGGGCCCACCCUGUUCACGGAUGCAUCUUCAACCACCGGACAGGGGCAGGACUCAAGCAACAGUUGGGAGACCGCUGUUUUUACCGAUCAGACAGCUAGUGUGCAAAUGCUUGAGGUGAUGACUGUGGCGGUAGCAGUGCAUUUGUGGUGAGAGAUUCCAUGUAACAUUGUCACUAAUUCUGCUUUCAUGGCCAGACUGCUUGUCUACAUGGAUCAAGAAGGGCAUCUGAGCUCUGAGGCCGCUGGCCUCCUAGAAGAAGCUUUGGCUUCCUGCUCAGCUCCUGUGGCCAUCUUGCAUGUCUGCAGCCAUUCUGAUGUGCCAGGCUUCUUUACAGCAGGGAAUGCUGUAGUGGACAGAGCUGCCCAUACACUUGUUUUCAUGGUUCACGAAGCCCGUGACCUUCAUGCCACCCUUCACAUAGGCGCCCGUGCACUGGCUAGGACAUGUUCCAUUCCUUUGUCUGUUGCACGCGAUGUUGUUCAGGGAUGUCCCCACUGUAAUUCUGCACCUGUAAUAGAGGCUGGAGUUAACCCCCAUGGUCUCGGACCAUUACAAAUUUGACAAACAGAUUUCACUUGGGAACACCAUCUGUCCCCCCACCCUUGGCUUACCAUCACGGUGGAUACUUCCUCCACUGUCAUCGUAGCCACGCAGCAUGCUAAGUCUAACUUGUCCAUGGCACAAUAUCAUUGGGUUGCUGCCAUUGCUGUGAUGGGCUUGCCUAAUCAGAUUAAGACUGAUAAUGGGUCCUGCUUCAUCUCGUAAAACAUCUUGAGAUGGGAAAAAUAGUAUGGGUACCAUCGCGGAAAGUUAAAUCAGAUGCCAGCAAGGAAAUAACCGGACUAUGAGCCUUCUUGUUCACAGGUUUGGCUCCUGGGGAGGCCUAAACCACAGACAGAGGAGACAAGAGAACAAAAAAAAAAGGAGCCGUUCCUGAAAGCUCCUGCUAAGACUGCAGCACAUGCUAAGUAUACAACACUUUUGCUUAUAGUAUCGGCAAUAGGUACUGCUCAGGCCUGGGAAAGCAACGGGUAUGUCAACGUUACCCACGUAAUGGCCCAGCAUUUCAAUUUAUCAGACUGUUGGAUUUGUACUGCCUUACCACGGGGAGGGAACUCCCCUUGCUAGGAGUUCCAGUGCCAUUCAGAAACUGGAGCUUGCCAUGGGACGCGGUGCAAGUACAGUACAUGGGGCGUGGCGAAAGUUUGUUUUGGUUUGUGCGGGCUUCAUGUGGUCUGGCGGGGCACGCAUCCCUACUCCCUAGCGGGGAAACGUUAUGCUGGAGUUUUCAGGACCCCUUGACCUCUUGACCGCCCAAGGUUGUGAAACCAGACGUAGCUUGUUAUCUGAAUACUAGCUCUCCGAGGUUUGAGAUGCUAUCCUCAUGGCCGAACAAUACUGUUGUCCUGGCGCAGAAUGGCAGCUACAGUGUGGGUCAUUUUUCAGCAGUGAACGUUACUUGAUGCCCAAGCUCAGAGUACUGCCCUAGGCCGAUAGUGGUGGCCUUGAGCAAUCCUGGCGGUACCCCACUGGGAUGUCCUCCCAAAGGUCUAUGGUGGCUGUAUGGGGAUGGCUGAGCAAGGAAAAGUGUACCAUCUGAUUGGAGUGGCUCUUGCACCUUGGGAGCCCUCAUUCCAAAUGUUGUCUGGCAUAACUGAUCGGCACCUCCUCCUGGAAUCCUACGAACACAUUGGAGGAGAGUGCAGAGGGUUCUGAACCCUGUAGUGGAGAAACCUACUGGUUUACACAGUUUUGCUAGAUGGUUCAUCCCAUCCUUGGGGGUGAGUGAGUUAGAGAAAACGUUUGUUAACAUUUCAGCCACCUUGGAAAUGAUAGAAAAUGCCACCGUUGAUGCAAUCAGGACAUUACAAGGAGAAGUCUCUACACUUAGCAAGGUGGUAUUACAGAAUAGGAUGGCAUUAGACCUCUUAAUGGCAAAAGAAGGAGGAGUCUGUGUGGUAAUAAACCACAGCUGCUGUGCCUAUGUCGAUAAGACUCAGAGGGUAGAGACGGGCAUACAAGCAAUAUGGGAACGGACUAAAUUACUCCAUCAAGUGUCCAUGGAUGAUACUUCAUGCGGAUUUCGGGACUUAUGGGAGAAGCUCAUGAGUUGGUUACCUGACUUCACAUGGCUGAAGCAACUCUUCAUCGUUUGUGUCAUCAUAAUGAUCAUACUUAUAUUAAUGUGAGUCACUAUGCGAUGUAUGUUGUGCCUAUGUAUAAAUUCUGGGAAGGGCUACGGAAAAUGGAAAAAACUCAGGUUAGGGCAGCAACUAAGGUACUUAUAGUUGCCUUGCCUCUAAUUGUAUUAUAUGUAAUAUAAUCGCCAUAUGCUGUAGCAAGUAGACUAGCUUAAAAGACCCAACAUAGCUUGCCAUCCCCUCUGUGUCCUAGGCUGGCGAUCUCGGUGGGUGUUGAUUAAGAAAUUGCGGUCGCGCUGUAACGGGGCAAGACUUUACUGAGCAUGGGGAGGGGGAAAUAUUGCAGUAGGCGUUAACGGGGACUCGAGAUGUGACACGAUAGGACCUCCCCUGCUCUGUGAUUUAAAUAUGACAUGUGCUUAGGGAGCGUAGACAAGGCAAGGUGUGUAUUUAAGGAGCUGCCACGCUGUAAUAAACGCCAUUUGCUAUAUCCUCAUAUAGGUGUCUGUGUAGUAAUGGCCCUAGCGAGGGUAGAUUGUUAGCUCCCGGCAGAACGUGCCUCUGAAGCGGGAACAACAAACGUGCGUGUCGCUAAUGUGCAUAACAGAACUUGCCUUACCCAUGGGUUACCAGGAGGCUAAGAAAAGUAAUCUAACACCUAGGCCAACUUGCAGACUCCUUGGGUAAUUCAUGCCGGACGAGUCACCUCAGCAUGUGCCAGACUUUCACAUAUAAUAUGAUUACAAGUAAUAAACAAAUCAGUGUUAGAAUUAAUAAAAUCACAACUGGGUGAAGCACAGAAUUAAAAGCUCCUCUUGCUGUUGGUGACCAUCCAAGAAGCAUUUCCCACCAGUGGUGUUCUCCAUCCUUCUUCACCCUUUCUAGGACAUGGUGUAUCUCUUUUGUAUCAUGGUGAACAGUAAUUAGAAUUUUUUUGUCUGUUAUCUCAGAUGCAUUCUAGCAGUUGGUACAGAUCAUCAUGUUGCAGUAAUUUCUUUAAUAAAUCAAGGUUCAUUCCACUUGAUGCAGGUAGCCAAUGUUGGAUUAAUGUGUAAUUGGAUCAUAACAAUUGAUAUGAUGUAACUGCAACUGAAUAAUUAGAGUCACAUCCCAUAAUGUUGGUAAAGUUACAAACACAAACAUUUGAAUGAUUCCUUGUAUCUAUAGUAAUAUUACCUAUGAGUAUAAAAUUACAAGAAGUUCUCAUACACACACAUCCUUUUCCACUAUAGACAAGCACUGUUUCAGGGGUUUCAUUGGGAUACACCUCAAAACAGCAAAUAUUUUGCUUAGUGUCCAGACAAAUGUCUUGAGCCUUGAUGGUAUUACUUUCACAAAUAAAUCCUUGUUGUUCCCAUACAGCAAAUGAACUAACAUUAACAGUUUGCCAUUUGUUUCCAUUUUGCUGGGCCCAUACUGUGUGUUCUAAUGGGUAGAGUAUAAACUAGUUGUGAUUCAGUCCCAGCACAAUGAUUGGGUAUACAAUAUAUACUGAAGCACUGUGUAUUAUUAGGACAAAAGCUAUAGCAUAGUUAUUAACAGGAUCAUAAGUGAAAUUAACUAGAUGCCCCUAAGAUUGAAAUUUUCUUUCAGAUUUGUCUGCAUUGUCCAAGAUCACCUUUUGAAUUUUAGUGUGUAAAGCAUUUCCUUUACCUUCUACAACUAAGAGCUAGGGAGACAUUAUUUUGAGUUAUGGCAAGUAUAUCUACAAUUAACUGGUGGUCUUUUAUAUUUGUUCUUUCCCAUUGAGAUAAUACAUUAGAUAAGAACCGCUGGUUGGUUCCCAGUGCUGAUGGGGAAGACUGGGUUUUGCAAUACACAUAGAUCACCUGUUACAUUCGAUACCCUACCUUUAUUCUAUUCUUUGUCCUACAUUUCCCUGGACUUGGGGAAGUCAGCCAGUACUAUCCUGGCCCCAUUCAUUUCCUGAAUACAUUUCAUUACUGCGCUUAACCACAGUUGAAAGGGUUAAGCCUCUUAGAAUUAGAAUUUGGUCCCAUAUGCCCAACGUAGGCCAAUGUAGGCAUGGGACCAUUACCAGUUAGUGAAUGUGAUAGGGUCAGCAUAAGCAAUUACAAAUAUUAAUCUGAAGAAGAUGCCUGUCCAAAACAGUGACACUGUUGAUGAUACCACAAUGGAUACCACAGGGAUCUCAGGAAAAGGAGCAGGGUGAGAAGGGACUUGCGAGUCACAGCAUCAGGGUCAGCAUUCAUUAGCAUAUGGAAAACAAAAGAGAGAGAACUUCCUGGUUCCAGAGGAACAAAGGUUAUAGGAGGCAUAGCUGAAAAAGAAAAAAAACAAAUCUUUCUAGUCCCAAAUGAACCAAGGUCAAAAGGUAGGUGAAAUCCAGAUGGAUAAUUUUGUACAUUUCCCCUGAUCGUCUUGAGCCUUCCAGAUUUUAUUUUCCAGAUUAACCCUCUUUGAGGGUUAAAGGGACAGAACCAAUGAGGGGCAAAUUAAUUAACACCCGGUUGUCCCGGGGAGUAUUUGUCCGAAUAAGCAGCCCUUUGAGUAAGGGACCACAGGGUGUAAUGGUUGCCAGUAGUGAAAAAUAUUCCAGGUCCUCACAUCCUCCAGACUUUCUCCUGGAUACAAGUCACUGCCUGGGCAACUAGCAUUAAUCUCCCUCUCAUUUACUAUCUGUUCUCUAAGGGCUUGGUUAAAGGAUGACUUUUGAAUGUUUUUCUUUCUCUAACUGUCCCCUAAGGUCUUCUACUUGGCCCUGCAGGUAUGUGACCAGUUCCUGCAAGGACUGAAUAAUUUGAAUUUCUGCCAUGUGCUACUGGUUGGGGAUCUCUACAUCAGCAGUAAGAGCAGCUCCUAGAACUGCAAAAAUGGUUGAUUUUCCCUUUCCCUCCUCCAUACGAGUUGUUUGUGGAGGGAAUUUAUAUGAACUGUGACUCCUUCUAAGUUGGACCAGCUAUUCUGUUCCCACCCUAUCCCCACAGGGGAGGGUUUGGCACCAUUUUUUUAAAGAGGUUGAAAAGCGGAUAUCCACCUUUUUUUUUUUUUUUUUUUUUUUUUUUUUCCAAUGAUCAUGCCUCAAAAUGUGGAGCAAUCUCUUCAGGGGAAAGGAGGAACAUGUAAUAUCCACAACUCAACAAUUUCCUUCUUACACCCCCGAAGGAUCAACUUCCUACUUUUUUCUACCAAUAACGCAUUUGUUGCUACCACCUGGACACAUUGAGGCCAACCUCGAGAUAGAGGGUCUAAUAGCUUAGACAAUUAUGAGUAGGUUUUCUUUUGUUCCCCCCAUUCUUGUGUUAGAACUUCUAGAGUAGCUCCUUCAUUGACACUUAACAAAAAGGUGAGAAGUUUUUUUCAGGGCAGGCAGUUCUAACACUGGUGCUGUGAUUAAGUCCCAUUUUGAUACUUCUACUAAUUCUUUUUCCCCUUUUGUUCAUUUUAAUAUGUUGGGUUCUCCCUCUGAUAGUUUGAGAUACAAUCUCUUUGUCUUUUUGUGCAUAUGCUUCUAUUUGUAAUUGACAGAAUCCAAUUAAACCUAAAAACUUUUGCAACUCCCCCUUUGUUCUGGGCAGAGAAAGCUGCAAAAUUUCCUGAAUUCCUUCAGGAUUUAUUCUGCAUUUCCCUUCAGAAAUCACAUGCCCAAGGUAUCUGACUUCUUUUUCCACAUACUGCAGUUUAUUUUUAGAUACCCUUAGCCCACAUUCCUCCAAGAAGUUCAAGAGUUUACUUGUAGUCUUUUUUACUUUAGAGUCCUCUUUGCCACAAAUCAGCAAAUCAUCUACAUACUGUAACAACUUUACCCCCUCUUCAACCUGAAACUUUUUCAAAACUUUCUCCAGCACUUGUCUGCAUAGAUUAGGUGAUUCUGUGAACCCCCGGUGUAAAACAAUCCACAUAUAUUGCUGCUUUCAUCCCAUUUCUGGGUCCUCCCAUUCAAAGGCAAAAAGAUCUCGACUCUCUGAGUCCAAAGGGCAGGUCCAGAAAGCAUCUUUUAAGUUUAUUAUACUAAACCAUUUUUGUUUGUGUGGGAUCUGACUCAUUAGAGUAUAGGGGUCAGGAACUACAGGGUGCACUUGAGAACUAUUUCAUUAAUUUUUCUUAGACCUUGCACCAGUCAAUACGUGCCAUCUGCCUUCUGUACUGACAAAACUGGAGUGUUAAAGGGUGACAUACAGAGUUCCAGAAGACCAUCUCUAACCAAUGCCUAUAUUAUAGGUUUUAGACCCAUUAUCCCUUCUAAAGGUAUGGGAUAUUGUCACAGUUUCACAGCUUCACGUCCUCCUUGGACAGUUAUUUUUAAGGGAGUAACUGUGAGUCUACCCCAGUUUCUUUCCCCUGCCCACACCACUGGAUUUAUUUCUUUUUAUCAUCAGCUGUUAACAAAUUCAUUGAUACCUUUAUACCUGUUCCACAUGUUUUCAACUGCAAUCCUAAUGUAACUGUUAAAUCUCUCCCCAAUAAAUUGGUCCCUGCUUCUGGCAAAUUUAACAAUUUCUCUGUGACUAUUUUAUCUUCCUAUUUUAAUUCAGCAUUCUCAAAAAUUGAAACUAUAAUUCCUGAUCCCUGUACCCCUGUUAUUCUUAAAAUGUUCCCAUUUAAAUUAAGUCCUGGUAUUUUAUAAGUUUCAGAUGACCAAGUAUUAAUCAAACUGUUUUGCUAAUCCAAUAGGGUCUUCCAUUAAACAUUUCAUUUUCUUUUAAAAUUUCUCACCCCACUAGUAAGUGGGGAGUUUACAUAUCCUAUAUCUCCUGGUAACAUCGGAACUUCCCUAAGAGGAUACAUGUAAGUGUUAGUGGGGUUAAUGGAGUUAGAUUUAGGAAAGGGGAAAUUUAUAAUAUUCCCUUUGCAUUGUUCCAAUUCACAGAUCUCUGUUCAGAUGGAUGAUGAUUUGAGCCAAUACCCUCCACUCUGUCAGCUGUCUGCAGUCUCCCUGCUGUAGUUACAGGACUUGACUCAAGGACAGGAUGAACCGAGUGAAUUUUGCUGAAGUAUUUAGUUGUCAGGAACGAAUGGAAAAUACAUCUGGCAAGCCACAGGAAAGACUCAAACCUCUGUGGAGCUUUCUGUAAAUUUAUCUUAAGCAGUGCUCAAAAUAGAAUUCAAUAAAAGCAGUUCAAUCCCUCAUUUCAUCUAUGUAUGUUUGCACAACUAAAUGAAAAUGGUAAGAUGAAAUACUGACAGUGGUCACUAUCAACAGCUGGAGGUCAAUAAAGAAGAAGCUUUUGGAAAUUCUAUCAAGAAAUGAAAACCAGGAAUAUAUAAAUACUGCCAGGAAAUAUCUUACUGAGCUGCUACACAAUACAGAAAUCUCUGCAAUGCAAUUUCAGUUCAGGUCACUUCCUAUUCUACAUACUUCUCUAUUGUUUACUUUUCUGAAACAUAAUAUAUCUGAUGUGAUUUCAAGUGUAACUUUUCAGACACAGUGAAGAAAAUAUUGCAUUGAACUAUGUUACCUACAGCACCACAUCCUCCACAAUGAAAGAAAAAAAAUUACAGCUAUUGUGUGCAUCUGCCGUGCAGGGUAGCAUUAUCAGCACUCAUGCCCUUGGCAUAACCCAGGAGACUGGAGGAAUGUAAGAUCUCAAUUAAAAACAGCAAUUUCUACAGUGAACUCAGCUGAGAAUGAUAAAAGAUUUAGAAACCAGAAGAUAUCAAAACAAAUAUUUC
ensembl:lncRNA